rnacentral:rRNA from 1 species
GCUCAGGAUGAACGCUGGCGGCGUGCCUAACACAUGCAAGUCGAACGAGGUAAAUGAGAUGAAGUUUUCGGAUGGAUUCUUAUUUACCGAGUGGCGGACGGGUGAGUAACGCGUGGGUAACCUGCCUCAUACAGGGGGAUAACGAUUGGAAACGAUUGCUAAUACCGCAUAAGCGCACAGUACCACAUGGUACGGUGUGAAAAACUCCGGUGGUAUGAGAUGGACCCGCGUCUGAUUAGCUAGUUGGUGAGGUAACGGCCCACCAAGGCAACGAUCAGUAGCCGACCUGAGAGGGUGACCGGCCACAUUGGGACUGAGACACGGCCCAGACUCCUACGGGAGGCAGCAGUA